UACGAAGGUCCCAAGCGUUAUCCGGAUUUAUUGGGUUUAAAGGGUGCGUAGGCGGAUUAUUAAGUCAGUGGUGAAAGCCUUCAGCUUAACUGAAGAACUGCCAUUGAUACUGAUGAUCUUGAGUAUGAUUGAAGUGGGCGGAAUGUGUCAUGUAGCGGUGAAAUGCUUAGAUAUGACACAGAACACCAAUUGCGAAGGCAGCUUGCUACACUACUAUUGACACUGAGGCACGAAAGCGUGGGGAUCAAACAGG
rnacentral:rRNA from 1 species